AGAUGAGAUUUCCCUUUGAGUAAUCAAGAAAGACCCCUCAGAGACGAUGAGGUAGAUAGGUCACGGGUGGAAGCAUGGCGACAUGUGGAGCUGAGUGAUACUAAUCGGUCGAGGCCUUGUUCUA
rnacentral:rRNA from 1 species